GGCAGCUUGCGAAGGGAGAACAGGUGUGUGUAUUUGUACUGAUUACUACCAGAGACAAACAGCAGAGAGAGGCUUGUCCUUGUCGGGACGGAGGUGUUGGAUGAAACCGUUCCCUCCCUUUCUGCCGAUAGAGACGGCCAGGCCUACAGUGCUGGACACACACUCACACUCCAACUGAAUUUGGCUGCAAGUACAUGUGCCUCUUCCCACCUACCAGGUCACUGGUAAUGUAGCCCUCCCUCACAAACACAUCCAUGAUGCUUCCUGGCCUCUCUGGGAGUUUCCAUAUGUUGUGAUGAUUUCAACACAAAAGCCCGGCUCUGAGCCUCGACUCAGUAAAGGAUUGACCUGGGUCUAAUGUCACACCAAAUGACACAUCUAAACCCGCGCAGGAAAACGGCAGAGGCAGGGGGUCGUUUUUUUCACCUCUGCAUUUGUGACAGGAAACUGUUUAUAAAUACUCCCGUGGGAUUCGGCACUAAUGAAGAGAAAGCGUGACCCCGGUACGGUCAGUUUGCAGCGGGUGCGGAGUUGGAGGGCUUCCAUUGCUCCUAACAACAGCACUCCAUUUUGCUGCGCCUGAAAUGACAAGUGAAGGUCAAUCUCUUGGCCGAAAAAGUAGGGGCCGCUACCGUACCCAUCUACCCUGCUCACCCCUCCUCUUCCCAGCCCAGUUUGGCAGCUCUUUGGGGUUGGUUUGUGCCACACUCCCGCAAAAAAAGAGAAAAUAUCUGAGCUUAGUCAGUCCUGUGUGAGUGUGCACAAUAGGGCCGCUGAUCCAAGGCCAGUGGAGUCCGUUUCAAAGGCAGCAAAGGAGAGUCAAAUGGAGGAUGCUUCAUUUCAGACACUCUUGAAGGCAAUUAACUCAGUGUUCGAGUGGGCCAUUCAGAGGCCUGACUGUGAUUAAAUUAAUUUGAUAAUGAUACACUCGCUUGCUGCUGUUAUGAGCUGCCUGUUUGUUUUCGCUAGAGGAGUUUCAGAACACAAUCAAACUAAAUCAUUCUGACAGCACAGAAACUAGAGACCGAAAUUACUACAGGGUUCGACUUUUAAUUGGCAGCACGCCUCUGAUUGUUUCAGUGCCGGAAUGAAGCAUAAAAAGUCGCAUGGU